UCUAGAGUUCAAUCGGUUGUCUUACGAUUUUUCACUUCAAUGGCAGGGCUUUCAAAACCCUAAAUUCGCAGAAAAUCUCAAAUCAAUAAACCCUAAAUUCAAAGGUGACAAAGUUGUGAUGAAAGUAGCAGCCCUUUUUGACGAAUGAGAAUGCUAUUUAUUCAAUCGUUGAAAAUUACAGUUUUUUUACACUUUUGAGCUGGUGGAUCAAUCUGGUGAUGAAAUUUCACAUUUAGCUAUCGAUAUUGGAGCAGCACCAUCAACUCUUUUGUUAAGGAAAAGAAGGUGGUCCAGAUGUCACUGAUUGAGCAGUAUAUGCAAACAUCAACCUACAAGACAAGGCGACCUAAUAACAAAUAGAAUUGAGUAUUAGUAUGUGUAUGUGCGACAUGUACGGGUGAUGUAUUCUACUACAAGAAGCAAAGGAAAAACAAGAAAGUGCAAGCUAAAGGAAAUGGGGAUGGAGGAGAAAACACGAAGAAGAAGUUAUUUUAGAUGGAUGUGUAAUGCUUCAUUAGUUCUUUUCGAUUUCUCAUUGUAUCUUGCUCUUAGCGUAAUAUAGAUGCUUAUGAGGUCUCGGGUUCAAUUUCCAGCAGAGAUAAAAACAUUAGGUAAUUUCUUCCCAUCUGUUCUAGCCUUAGGACAAAGUUACCAGGUACUUGAUGGUGGUAGGAGGUAGCAGGUAUCCCGUGGAAUUAGUUGAGGGCGUGCUUUACUAUCUACAUAAGAUGUUUCAGCCUUCAGGUGGUCUUCAUAAAAAAUGUGAAUUUCCAUGGGUAAAGCAAGAAUUUUCAAUCGAUGGCUAAUUGCCAAACAUGUUAUGAAGCUACAUAUGGAAAAUUCGGGUGAUUUCUUAUUAUAUUGAAACAAAAGAGAACACAUUGAUUUGGCUUCAUUAGAUGAUAGCUUGGUUUUGUUUCUAGCCAAGCAAAGGAGAUGUUGGACCAACUUUGAAGAGUGCUGGAAACAUAAUCUGUUACAUUGAGAGCGGACAAUUUAUUGCAGAAGUUAAAAGCUAAGAUAUGUCAUAUAAUGAUUCUGGCAUUUUCACCAAUUUUCGUUAAUGUGGCUUAGUGUACUCCAUCCAUUGUCUGCUAAAACUAAUAAUUCGCUCCCCCUUCUUUCUUCAUUCCCUUUGUUGAAGGGGAGAGAUCAUAAGUUUUAUUCAAGAGUUUAGAAGUUUGGGUUCUUAAAUUUGAAACAAGGGUAUGUAAAGUUUUUCUGAAAAUGAUAUAAUAGCUUCUCAUAUAAUAACUGCUCUUCGAAAGGUCGGUCAAAGGUAAGCUCUUAAAGCUCAUUAUUUGAAUGGGCUGUUCACCUUGAAAACCAUGCUCUGCUACACAGUCUAAAGUUCGCUUUUAACUACAACCUGUCCUCUCGAAAGACUCCUGUACUAUUGAAAUACAUGUGUACUGUAUUUACCAUCUAAACUAUUGAAACCUGGAUCUAUUACUCUUUCAUAGUUUUCUCAUAAUUAAAUGAGAGUUGGGAUUAUGGCUCAAAAGAUUUUGCUUCCUGCUAAGUCAUGCAACAAAGAUUCUUCGCAGAUACAUUGAGGGAAUUAUUUUGAAGAAGAAUGUGAAUUUCUAAUUUAUGGAUGAGUGUGUCUCUAACCCUAAUUGAAGAUACAUCUAAUUAUACCAUUCAAUUGUUCUCUCAUGGAACCUGACAGGAGAUCAAUUUUACUACUACCCUUAAGGUGAGUUCUUUGUUUUAUUUUACUUUUUAGUUGGACCUACUCUGAGUUCAAUUUUACCAACACGUUUUGUUCACCUUGAAUAGCGUAGCUCGAGUGUAUACCUUCAUCUGAGGUAAGUGAAUUUCCUUCAAAUGGAUAAUGAAUCUUCAUAUGGAAAUUUCAAGCUCAUGAAUGUUGGUUAUAUGGAAUUUGACAGUUUUCAGAGCUUUAUUCUCUGUGUAGCUUUCGACGGAUCACGCUAUGCAUGUCCAUGUGAGUAUAAUUUACCAAUGCCUACAUUAUAUUUGACUUAUUUCUUAUAUGCUGUCUCAACUCUAUUUUGGUCGAAGUGGAGAUUUUUGUGAUAACUGGUAUGUGAUUUGGUGAUAUAACAGAUAUAUAGAUGAGAGAAAUCAGACAUGGCUGACUAAUAUUAGGCGGAGACUUUAUGAAUCAAGCUAACUAAUGGAAGAAGAGAUAAAUAGGAGAUUAUAUAAGAGUGAUAGGUUUUUUCUCUCCCAUUGAUUCUUAAUUAGCCGUUCAUUUUACCAGAGUUUUUCUGUUAUUUCGUUUCAGUUGUGCACUAUAUGGGGCAUGAUGAACAAGUGAAAUUCUCAAUUAGCUGAGACUGUUGUAUCUAUUAGAUGUUCAGAACCAGUUUGGACCAAAGAAAGGAAAGGACAAGAGGUCAUGUAAAUUGAAAUGUAGGAGCUCUUCCGGCUGCGAGUAAUGUGCUUUCUGCUUCUUCCUUGCCCUCUUUUUCUUCUAUGUUUUACCGAUUCAUCAAUUUUUUUAUGUGACUUCAUUUCCUUGAUACUCCUGCUGUUGAAAGUUAUUACUAAUAUUUUUCACAUAUUCUAAUUCAUGUUUUGUGGCUUUUUCUUUUUUUAAAUUUGUAUGUGCUCCUGGUUCAGAAAUACCUUCUUGUGAUUGUGGAGCUGGUAGCAUAUUUUGUUUGUUUUAGCGUGGGUCUAAAUAUAUUCUGUAUUAUACUAAUUACUUAAGAGGCAUAUAUCUUUUUUGUAAAAAUAUUGCAUAUAUCAAAUCAUUGAAGACUUAAAGAUGUAAACUAAUUGCUCAACAUCAUCAACAUGUAUUGUUGUCUAUUUCAUGUUUGUCCCUUUUGUAUAUAGUAAUAACAAUUGUACGUGCAAUUAUCUGAUUUUUUAUUUUUUAUUUUUCCCAUCUAAAAUAUGUUUCCAUUGCAGCUCCCAAUUUUGUUCAUCUAUGAGCUUAGAUCAGACAUGUUUUAACUAAUUUAAAAAAAAAAAAAAAAAUUGUUGCAAUAGAAAAAAAAAAAAAACAUAGGGUAGUCUUUCAGUUUACUCUUUUCCCGUUGAAGUUGGUUUAUCUUGAGAAAGACCUGAAUACGUGAAGUUAUCAACUUCUCUGGAAGGUCACUUUAUGUGCGUUUGUUGCAAUCAAAUUUGUUUUUUUUUUUUUACCUUUUAGGUGAAAUUACCAACUUAAUUUUUGUGAGUACUAAUAUCUUAAUAAUAUGCAAAAAGUUGUGAUCAAGAAGAUGGAUAUGCAAGCAACAAAAAGGUUUCUUGCUGAAUUGAAGAUUUUGACGCAUGUACAUCUUGAUCUUGAUUUUGCAUUACUCAAUAUAUCAAUCCGUUCAGUGGUCUGAGCCAUUUAGCAAGCUAAUUAACGUGAUACUUUUCCUUAUGAAAGUCAAGAACGGUGAUUUAGUUUUGCUGUACUUGAGAUUUAUGGAGAAUAAGAGUUAAUAUUUCACAUGUUGAAAUAUUUUCGGUACGUUUGAUAGGAUAUUGUACUGAAGGAUCAUUGUUCUUAAUAUACGAAUAGGUUGAAAAUGUGUAAAAUUUCUAAGAUUCGUUGCUCAAUUUACUGCAUGCUCUGCACCUAAAAUGAAGAGACUUGCGAAGGCUGAUCUGGGUUGGUUGGUCCGGGAAGUCAAGGGAAAGGCAGAUCGUGUACAAUGUCAAUCCUAUAUUUGAUGUCGAUUCAUCCACACUUCUAUUCUCAGUAAAGGAAGGCUAAUUGCUUGCUGGUUGGGAGCUGUAUGAGCAGUAAUGUGCACGUAUGAUUCCGUGAGAAAGUGACAAAAAACAUGGAGAAGAAUCUCCAAGUUAAAAUCAGUUGUGAUCUUUUUUUUAGUAAUUUGGAUUCUCUACCCAGAUCUGUUGAGUUAAGCAAACACGCAGCGGUCAAGGAUGUUUCCCAUCCUUAUACAGGAUCUAAUACAAUUAGCUAUCAAUGGAUUAAAUGUAUCUAUUGUAUCUGUUUCUACAGUCA